UGGGGAAUUUUGGACAAUGGGCGAAAGCCUGAUCCAGCAAUGCCGCGUGUGUGAAGAAGGCCUUCGGGUUGUAAAGCACUUUUGUCCGGAAAGAAAUCCUUGGCUCUAAUACAGUCGGGGGAUGACGGUACCGGAAGAAUAAGCACCGGCUAACUACGUGCCAGCAGCCGCGGUAAUACGUAGGGUGCAAGCGUUAAUCGGAAUUACUGGGCGUAAAGCGUGCGCAGGCGGUUUGCUAAGACCGAUGUGAAAUCCCCGGGCUCAACCUGGGAACUGCAUUGGUGACUGGCAGGCUAGAGUAUGGCAGAGGGGGGUUAGAAUUCCACGUGUAGCAGUGAAAUGCGUAGAGAUGUGGAGGAAUACCGAUGGCGAAGGCAGCCCCCUGGGCCAAUACCGACGCUCAUGCACGAAAGCGUGGGGAGCAAACAGGAUUAGAUACCCUGGUAGUCCACGCCCUAAACGAUGUCAACUAGUUGUUGGGGAUUCAUUUCCUUAGUAACGUAGCUAACGCGUGAAGUUGACCGCCUGGGGAGUACGGUCGCAAGAUUAAAACUCAAAUGAAUUGACGGGGUCAUAGCUGUUU
rnacentral:rRNA from 1 species